GAGGAGCGCAAGGAGGGGCGGAGAGAGGGGCGCAGGGGGCGUAGGAGGCAUAGGAGUUCUGGGUCCGGCGUGCAGGUCCCUACAACGCAGAGUAGUACUGGAGUUCGUGGAGCUGAGAGACAGCCGCCGACUCUGGGCCCGAGCAGGAAACCUAAGGGCCGGGAAGCUAAUAGAGCGGUCCUUUGCCUGGCGCCUGAACCUCGCCAGUCUUCGUCGCCCCUCCCCUGCCAAUGCCUACCCCGCUCAUACCCAAGGGUGCGCUGUCCCUCUGGUCACUGUGAUCACUGUCCAUGGCCGCCAGCGAAUACCCACGCCGCGCUCAGAAGAGGGCCCUGAGGCCAUGCCCGCCGGUGAGGGUUGUGGCCGGGCUUCCGGGGUCGCGCGCUAGGUGGAGGGGACCUCUCUGGAAUCUGGAGGGCGCGGGACGCAGAUGCAGGAACGAGAGGGGAGAGCCGCACGUCCCUGGCAUGUUUGCCUUGCGUUAGUAAUGAAGAGAUCGAAGAGAACCUCAGUCUUCGAGGCUUUUCCCUUCCUGUGAGCCCCUUUGAAGCCAGCACCUUUUUUUCUUUCGCAGAACAAUUUCGGACCUCCUGGGUCUAUGCUAGGUAUAAGGUGUAUCUUUGUCCUCAGUCAAGUAGCAAAGAUAGACAUGUGAAUAAAUUUCGGCACUGUGAUGACUGCAACAGAAAGCAGCAUUAUGAGGUUGAAUGUAAAAGGAUAACAUUAGCGGCGGCAGGGGCCGGGAGAUGAAGGAAAGCUUCCUGAGGUAGGCGCUAGCGAAACUGAAGUUGGAGAGAGCAAGUGACAUUUGCUCAACUGCGUGUCCGAUAGAAAAAACUCCAGUGGUCCCUCACCUGACUGAGUGGCCCAGUCGGAGAUAAACGGAACAAGUACACUAA